GAUCCCUAGCCUUAGGUGCUCAGGACCAAAGAAGAGAUGGUACCUGUAUAGACGGAUCAGUGUUAUGUCUCUGCACUGUGUGCAUGAAGUGCCUAUACAAACAUAAGAAGACGCCAGAUCCCCUGAAACAGAUGGUUGUGAGCCAACUUGUGGAUCUUGGGAACUGAACCUAGGUCCUCUGGAGAUACAGCCAGUGCUCUUAACUGCUGAGCUGUCUCUCCAGGCCCAGGGCUUGACUGCUUUAAGAACGAUGACGGAGG
rnacentral:lncRNA from 1 species